AAUAGAUACCCCGGAAGUCCACGCCGUAAACGAUGUCGACUUGGAGGUUGUUCCCUUGAGGAGUGGCUUCCGGAGCUAACGCGUUAAGUCGACCGCCUGGGGAGUACGGCCGCAAGGUUAAAACUCAAAUGAAUUGACGGGGGCCCGCACAAGCGGUGGAGCAUGUGGUUUAAUUCGAUGCAACGCGAAGAACCUUACCUACUCUUGACAUCCAGAGAACUUAGCAGAGAUGCUUUGGUGCCUUCGGGAACUCUGAGACAGGUGCUGCAUGGCUGUCGUCAGCUCGUGUUGUGAAAUGUUGGGUUAAGUCCCGCAACGAGCGCAACCCUUAUCCUUUGUUGCCAGCGGUUCGGCCGGGAACUCAAAGGAGACUGCCAGUGAUAAACUGGAGGAAGGUGGGGAUGACGUCAAGUCAUCAUGGCCCUUACGAGUAGGGCUACACACGUGCUACAAUGGCAUAUACAAAGAGAAGCGACCUCGCGAGAGCAAGCGGACCUCAUAAAGUAUGUCGUAGUCCGGAUUGGAGUCUGCAAC
rnacentral:rRNA from 1 species